rnacentral:rRNA from 1 species
ACGACUCCUAAUACCCCAAUGUGCCUUAGGGUGAAAGAUUUAUCGUCAACAGAUUGGCCCGCGUCAGAUUAGGUAGUUGGAGUGGUAACGGCACCCCACGCCUACGAUCUGUACUUGGUUUGAGAGGAUGACCAGCCACACCGGAACUGAGACACGGUCCAGACUCCUACGGGAGGCAGCAGUGGGGAAUUUUCCGCAAUGGGCGCAAGCCUGACGGAGCAAUACCGCGUGAGGGAGGACGGCUUUUGGGUUGUAAACCUCUUUUAUCAGGGUAGAAUCCAUGACGGUACCUGAUGAAUCAGCAUCGGCUAACUCCGUGCCAGCAGCCGCGGUAAUACGGAGGAUGCAAGCGUUAUCCGGAAUUAUUGGGCGUAAAGCGUCCGUAGGUGGCUUCAUAAGUCUUUUGUCAAAGCGUGCAGCUUAACUGCAUAAGGGCGGAGGAAACUAUGGAGCUAGAGUGCGAUAGGGGUUACGGGAAUUCCCAGUGUAGCGGUGAAUGUUACAUAUUGGGAAGAACACCAGCGGCGAAAGCGCGUGACUGGUCUGCACUGACACUGAUCACGACAGAUUAUCCCCCC